CGACGGCGGUGUUUGGCACCUCGAUGUCGGCUCAUCACAUCCUGGGGCUGAAGUAGGUCCCAAGGGUAUGGCUGUUCGCCAUUUAAAGUGGUACGCGAGCUGGGUUUAGAACGUCGUGAGACAGUUCGGUCCCUAUCUGCCGUGGGCGCUGGAGAACUGAGGGGGGCUGCUCCUAGUACGAGAGGACCGGAGUGGACGCAUCACUGGUGUUCGGGUUGUCAUGCCAAUGGCACUGCCCGGUAGCUAAAUGCGGAAGAGAUAAGUGCUGAAAGCAUCUAAGCACGAAACUUGCCCCGAGAUGAGUUCUCCCUGACUCCUUGAGAGUCCUGAAGGAACGUUGAAGACGACGACGUUGAUAGGCCGGGUGUGUAAGCGCAGCGAUGCGUUGAGCUAACCGGUACUAAUGAACCGUGAGGCUUAACCUU
rnacentral:rRNA from 1 species